UACGGAGGAUCCAAGCGUUAUCCGGAAUCAUUGGGCUUAAAGGGUCCGUAGGCGGUUUUGUAAGUCAGUGGUGAAAGCCCAUCGCUCAACGGUGGAACGGCCAUUGAUACUGCAAGACUUGAAUUAUUGGGAAGUAACUAGAAUAUGUAGUGUAGCGGUGAAAUGCUUAGAGAUUACAUGGAAUACCAAUUGCGAAGGCAGGUUACUACCAAUAUAUUGACGCUGAUGGACGAAAGCGUGGGGAGCAAACAGG
rnacentral:rRNA from 1 species